UACGUAGGGCGCAAGCGUUGUCCGGAAUUAUUGGGCGUAAAGAGCUCGUAGGCGGUUUGCCGCGUCUGCCGUGAAAGCCCGGGGCUCAACCCCGGGUCUGCGGUGGGUACGGGCAGACUGGAGUGCAGUAGGGGAGACCGGAAUUCCUGGUGUAGCGGUGAAAUGCGCAGAUAUCAGGAGGAACACCGAUGGCGAAGGCAGGUCUCUGGGCUGUAACUGACGCUGAGGAGCGAAAGCAUGGGGAGCAAACAGG
rnacentral:rRNA from 1 species